rnacentral:rRNA from 1 species
GACGAACGCUGGCGGCGUGCCUAAUACAUGCAAGUAGAACGCUGAAGGAGGAGCUUGCUUCUCUGGAUGAGUUGCGAACGGGUGAGUAACGCGUAGGUAACCUGCCUGGUAGCGGGGGAUAACUAUUGGAAACGAUAGCUAAUACCGCAUAAGAGUAGAUGUCGCAUGACAUUUGCUUAAAAGGUGCAAUUGCAUCACUACCAGAUGGACCUGCGUUGUAUUAGCUAGUUGGUGAGGUAACGGCUCACCAAGGCAACGAUACAUAGCCGACCUGAGAGGGUGAGCGGCCAAACUGGGACUGAGACACGGCCCAGACGCCUACGGGAGGCAGCAGUAGGGAAUCUUCGGCAAGGGACGGAAGGCUGACCGAGCAACGCCGCGUGAGUGAAGAAGGUUGUCGGAUCGUAAAGCUCUGUUGUAAGAGAAGAACGAGUGUGAGAGUGGAAAGUUCACACUGUGACGGUAUCUUACCAGAAAGGGACGGCUAACUACGUG